AUAGUUACUUGGGACAACAGUUUUAGCAGGGCUCUCUUUCUCCUUUCCUGAUCUCUCUGUUAAGCUGCCUGGCUCAUUUGAUAUCACAUCCAAAUUAUCAGCUGAUUGCUCUAUUGUUUUGGACAAUGCCCUGAAGCAUACCAAAAUGUGUCUGGAAUUGGUGGGUUCUUGGUCUUACUGACUUUAAGAAUGAAGUUGCGGACUUUUGCGGUGAUCCACCCUACCACAUAUUGUCUCCUAAUGGCCGUCCAGUUUAUCCUGGAGCCCUUGCAUGACACAGGCCUAUCGAAGCAUAGGAGAUGCCAAUAUUUUACCUCUUGGGUACUUUCUGUGUAGAAGAUUCAUAACAAGAACAAUACUUAUUCUGCAAUUCUUUAUAUAAAGCUAAAAGAAAAUGCAUUCUGCCAACAACUAAUGAGCUUGGAAGAGAACUCCAAACCCCAGAAGAGGCCUGUCACAUUGGCUAACACCUUGAUUUCCACCCACUGAGACCUUGAGCAGAGACUUCAGUUACACCCCACCCAGACUUCUGACCUGCAAAACUGUGAGCUAAUACAUGGAUGGUGUUUCAAGCUUCUGUUUGUAAAAUAUUGUUCCCCAGCAAUAGAAAAGUAAUACAUUUAUCUAAAAUCCUAUUGUUGAUAAAUGAGAGUCCAAGAUCUCCUAAGACUUAAAACAAGUCUUUUAUCUCCUGCUAGAGACAGAGAUAACAAACAGUGAUUUAAGAAUGCAUUUGAUCAAGCACCAAGGUAUAUAAUCAAGGUAUAGAUGCCCAUUGGGUGAGGAACACCCAAACUACUAUUCUUUAAUCAAUAAGAGAAGGUAAAAACUGAGAUUUAUAAUUGGUCAAACAUUAAUUCUGAAUAAAAGAAAACUAUUUCAGAGAAAGUGGAAUGUAUCUCCCACUAAAUUGCAUGGCUAGGAGUUAAAAAAAAAGGAAGCUACUCCUCCAACAUUUUAGCCUUUCAAAUCUGGUGGUACCAGCUAGAAACUAACAGGGGAUAUUUGGUCUCAUGUACCCCAUAAAUACAUACAUCUACUAUGUUCUCACAAAAAUUAAAAAUAAAUUUUUAAAAGGGAGUAUUUGGUGAACAGAAUAUGAGCUCCGAACAUAAUCUUGUAAAGGCAUCCUUACCCUAUCUUACUCAGGUAAGAUUUUUGUGAUGUAAGAUUUUUGUGAUGUUCAAAAUUUUCCAUCCCAUUGGUGAAAUUACUCUGACGAAAAGAGUUAUGAUUUCUGAAUUCAGAAUAAACCAAAUUUCCUUAGUUAUUCAUCCCAGUUAGAGAAGUUCUUUCACUCUCUCUUCUUUCUAAACCCAAAUAAGAAAUUACUUGCUCAAAGGGAAAAAGGACUCACCAAUAUUUGUAUCUUUCUCAGUGUAUAUGAGGCCUGGAGUCAUGUAUGCGGCGAUUUCCAGUAUUAGUUAGUACCAAUUUCCAUACAUCAGACAGUGUGAAAAAUCAUGUAAUUUCUACCACACGCAUCUAACCAUUGUGACUUUGCUGAUGAGGGAAAUAGUGGCUUCAUCUUUCCUGUGGCAUGCCAUCUCUAUUAGACUUCGUAAACUGCAGCAGUUGAAAUCUUUAACCAGCCAUUACUAAUAAGCAUAUGUUAAUUGUUGCAGAGAUCAUAAGCAGGUCAAUUAGGAGGCAAAGACUGGAACCGAAGGAAACAUUCAGCUAGAGGGAAAAUCCAGGGCAGGUGUCGGCCAGCAUGGACUGCCCUGGCGGGAGCUCUAAGCAUCUUGGGUAGAAGCUCAUUUAACGUUUUGAUUUGCUGAAUUUGCAUUUCAAAUUUUCAUUCCUAAUAGACAAUAUAGUCAGUCUUUGUUAAUGAGGACUCUGAUUACAUGUGCCAUUAUAAUUGGGAAUUAGCAGACCAGCCUUGUUUUGGAGAUUAAACCCAAAGCAAAUUGGAUUAAAUACGGUGUGAC
rnacentral:lncRNA from 1 species